AUGUUGAGCCCUCGUGCUGAUGUCAUCCCAGUUGUCAUGGUUACAGGUGAACAAGCUGCUGGAAGUGCAAAAUCAGCGCCGGGCUCCAAGGGGAAGGGAGGAUGGAGGGGGGAACCUGGGGAGGAACCUGGUGCUGGAAGUGAGCGAGCAGAAACAGCUGCCAUCCCCAGGUUUGAGGACUCUACUGUGACCCUGGCAUGCACUCUCUCAAGCACCCUCUGCUUGAAACAGUCCAACGAGGCUGAUUUGGAGCCCUCUCAGAUAUGUCUGUCGGCUGAGGAAUGUGCUGAACAGGCUGACCAACAGAAGUGCUCAUUUUUUCUGUCAUUCAGAAAUUGUGAAGGGCUGAACGCUUCUUAUUUCCACCUUGGUCCCUUUGCUAAAGAAACCUCACUGAAAGCAAAGGUAUUUUCACCUGGCAGAGAGUUACGUUUGCCCAGAUAG
ensembl:lncRNA